UAAUCUACCUGGGAGCGGGGGAUAACCUGGGGAAACUCGGGCUAAUACCGCAUACGUUGGUUGGUUUACGGAUUGACCAAGAAAGCUGGCCUCUGCUUGCAAGCUAGCGCUCCUGGAGGAGCCCGCGGCUAAUUAGCUAGUUGGUGAGGUAAAGGCUCACCAAGGCAUCGAUCAGUAGCCGGCCUGAGAGGGUGAUCGGCCACACUGGGACUGAGACACGGCCCAG
rnacentral:rRNA from 1 species